GUACUUGCCUAUAGCAUAGUGUUAAUGCACCAUAUCCCAUUAGAACUCUGUAGUUAAACGUGCUCAAGCUAGAGUAGUAUCGGGAUGGGUGAUCGCUCGGGAAGUCUUAGUGUUUUAUAUU
rfam:Picea glauca, whole genome shotgun sequence.